AUUGAACGCUGGCGGCAGGCCUAACACAUGCAAGUCGAACGAGUGGCGGACGGGUGAGUAAUGUCUGGGAAACUGCCCAAUGGAGGGGGAUAACUACUGGAAACGGUGGCUAAUACCGCAUACCAUCGGAUGUGCCCAGAUGGGAUUAGCUAGUAGGUGGGGUAACGGCUCACCAAGGCGACGAUCCCUAGCUGGUUUGAGAGGAUGACCAGCCACACUGGGACUGAGACACGGGCCAGACUCCUACGGGAGGCAGCAGUGGGGAAUAUUGGACAAUGGGGGCAAGUCUGAUGCAGCCAUGCCGCGUGUAUGAGGAAGGCCUUCGGGUUGUAAAGUACUUUCAGCAGGGAGGCGGUACCUGCAGAAGAAGCACCGGCUAACUCCGUGCCAGCAGCCGCGGUAAUUC
rnacentral:rRNA from 1 species